rnacentral:rRNA from 1 species
AUGCACAAAGAUAAUGGUUGCGUUCCAAAAGUCAUGCGAGUUCCAUUCAGAAAACGAUCAUCUAUGCAGUCAUCUACUUUCGGCCACCAUUGCCAGGCCCAGCAAAACACCAAACAAGACAAGCAGCGGCACGCCGGCGUCAGCUCUCGGCGGUGCUGCUGUUCCCGGGACGUAGCACGAGCUGCUCUCCUGCUGCGCGUCCCCCGGCACGCUGCCCGUCGUCACACAGUACCCCGCCGGCGUCGCCCCCCUCGUUGCCUGCGGCGCACCCUGCAAAAUAGUCGAAGAGCGUCAGCGCCGUCCGUUCCAUUGAACAAAAGCCGCAGGCUAGGCCGAGGCGAGCACCUGCGCCGGAGCUGCGGUGACGCCGAUCUGGCCGGACGUGCUGGGGCUGGCGCUGCCUUUGGCGAGCCCGAUGUCGUAGUUGGCGGUGAGGUCGGCCUGGUACAGCCCGAACGACCGCUCCGACACUGGCCCGGGCUUGAGGUCCUCGUCGUAGAGCGCGAAGAGGUACGUGUCCACCGACCUGCCAGGCGUCCGCGGCGUGCCCACCUGCGACCUGAGGUGCGCCACGAGGUUGCCGUUGUACGCCCUGGCGUUGUCCGGCGUGGCGCCGGCCUCGUCGGCGUCCCCCCUGUACGGCCACCCGGUCUCGGCGAUGACGAUGUCCACGCCCGCGUACCCCUUGCCGUCCAGCGCCGCGCGGACGGCGUCGAGCUGCGCGUCGAACAUGUUCAUGUAGGUCAGCCCCGACGCGGCGUCCGCGCGCCCCGGGUUGGGCUGGAACAGGCAGAAGGCCAGCGUCUCGUCCCGCGUGUCCGACGCGUACGCGAAGUACGGGUACGGGUUGAUCAUGAACGGCGAGCCGUUCUGCCGCAGGAAGUCCAGCACCGGGUCCAGGCUGCCGGCGAGGUCCGGGUGGAACGCGCCGGACGACGGCGGGUCCGACGCCGCCAGCACCGCCAUCGAGUGCACCGUGGAGACCUUGGUGGUCGAGCCGGCGGGGAGCGCGGCCAGGAGGUUCUGCAUGGCGGGGAGGAGCUGCGGGCCCAGCGUGGGGUCGCCGGAGUUGAGGAGCUCGUUGCCGACCGAGAUGGCGGAGACGGACACCGUGGUGGGGAUGUUGGCGGCCGCCCACGACGCCGCGGCGGCCGGGGAGGCGGCGAGGCCCGGGACGUCGGAGUUGGGGACGCCCAGGAGGAUGGAGAUGUCGGAGCCCGCGAGAGCCGCGACGAGGUCCGGCUGCGGCUCGUAGAGGCGGAGCUUGCCGAUGGACGUCGACGUGAGCAGGCUCGCCGUCGACGCCGCGGGCGGCAGGUUGUCGGCGAUCGUCCCGUAGUUGACCCCGAUGAACGACUGCGACGCUGUAAACAUUGA